UGGAGCUGGGGUGGGGAGAGCAGAGCUGGCCACAAGAGUUUUAGGUUUUUAGAAGCUGUUUCAUUAAGCUUAAACCUCACAACAGCCAUUGGUUCAAAGGACCUGGGGAUGUGGUGCCCUGAUUGUUUGCAGGUGGCUAUGGGGCAGCUAGUUGCUUGCCCACAUGGGAACCAGCUGACAGGAUCUGCCCAUACCUGAUGCACAUAAAAAUCUUACCAGCAUCCUUGUCUUUAAAGGCUUGCUGCAAAGUCAGUGGGCCCAGUUCUUCAUUAGAAUCGUGUUAUGCUAAUGGAAGCUGAUUGGAUUUUGGGUAAAGAUUUGAGGAAUCAAAGCAGGUUCACUCAGCUGCGUGUAUGCAUGUGAUACCUGCCUGGCAGGUUGGUAGCAAGCUCUGCUUCCAGGAGCCCACAUGCUGCUCUCUGCAUUUGAGGGAUAAUUUUGGAUGUCUUCAUCUCUGCUUGCAGGCUGCCGCAGCCCAGCUCUCUCAGCCUGGCUCCAUAGGAAGAGGAAGCUGGAGGAGUGCUCAAAGACACUAAAUUGGAGGGGUCAGUUCCUCUGUCAAGAUGUGGAUCCAGCUCUUGCAAUAAAAGCAUCUCAUGACCAA